GACGAACGCUGGCGGCGUGCCUAAUACAUGCAAGUCGAACGAAGCUGUUUUAACUGGUGCUUGCACCGACUUAAACAACUGAGUGGCGAACGGGUGAGUAACACGUGGGUAACCUGCCCCAAAGCGGGGGAUAACAUUUGGAAACAGAUGCUAAUACCGCAUAACCACAGAAACCACAUGGUUUCUGUGUCAAAGAUGGUUUCGGCUAUCACUUUGGGAUGGACCCGCGGCGUAUUAGCUAGUUGGUAAGGUAAUGGCUUACCAAGGCAAUGAUACGUAGCCGAACUGAGAGGUUGAUCGGCCACAUUGGGACUGAGACACGGCCCAAACUCCUACGGGAGGCAGCAGUAGGGAAUCUUCCACAAUGGACGAAAGUCUGAUGGAGCAACGCCGCGUGAGUGAAGAAGGUUUUCGGAUCGUAAAGCUCUGUUGUCAGAGAAGAACGUGUGCGAGAGUAACUGCUCGUGCAGUGACGGUAUCUGGCUAGAAAGCCACGGCUAACUACGUGCCAGCCGCCGCAGUAA
rnacentral:rRNA from 1 species